GAGUUUGGUCCUGGCUCAGAUCUAACUUUGGCGGCACGCUUCAUACAUGCAAGUGGAGCGCGAAACCCCCUUCGGGUGAUCUAGAGCGGCGAACGGGUGAGUAACAGGUGGGUAAUUUGCACUUUGGCGGGGGACAACAGCUGGAAACGGCUGCUAAUACCGCAUGUGAUUGUGGACUUAUGGUCUGCAAGGAAAGACGCCUCAAAGCGUCACCAAAAGAUGAGCCCGCCCCGCAUUAGCUAGUUGGUGAGAUAACAGCCCACCAAGGCUUCGAUGGGUAGCCGAGCUGAGAGGUUGAUCGGCCACACUGGAACUGAGACACGGUCCAGACACCUACGGGUGGCAGCAGUAAGGAAUAUUGCGCAAUGGGCGAAAGCCUGACGCAGCGAUGCCGCGUGAGUGACGAAGGUCUUAGGAUUGUAAAGCUCUUUUCUGAGGGAAGAAUAGGUCCGGGAGGAAAUGCCUGGAUUCUGACGGUACCUCAGGAAUAAGGAACGGCUAAAUACGUGCCAGCAGCCGCGGUAAUACG
rnacentral:rRNA from 1 species